AGCUUUCUUUCCUAGACAGGUUACAAAUUCACUGAAUGGAGAGGCUGCAUCAUCUUCGUUGUGUGGCCCAUCACCCUAAGUGCCUAAUGAGUGAAAGACACUUGAUAACAAAAUCUUCCAAAGAUGCCUGGUGCUCAGCACGGAGGAUGUGCACAGCGGUGUAGAGGCUCCAGCCCAUGAUGGUCUCCAUUCUGGGCUUGCCUGGCCCCAGCUUCCCUGCUGAGGUGCUGAAAAGGGAGCUCCGAUGUCCAAGCUUGAAUGUUUCAGGAUGAGAUGCUGUGCAGGUAGAUUGCUACAGCUUAUGCACAAUCCUCUCAAAGAAGGACAAGAUACUCAGUGAUAGUGACCCCCGAAACACACAACAAUGUGCACAGAUCUCCUAUGCAUUAAGGAAGCACUUGAAAUGUGUGGUAGUUGUUUUGCAACAAUUACUGACAUCUGGCAACUAGGGAUCUGUUAAGAACUCAACGAGAUGUAAACGUAGCUGUAAGAAUGGGCAAGCAUUACGAAACUUCUUGUUCCUGUACUGUUUCCACUGGAGUCUUUCCAUCGAUUGCAUCCCUUGUGACACCUAUGAAAUGUUCCACACAGAGCUAACUUCCACAGAAAAUCAGAAGUAGCUUCUAGAACCUGUGAAGCUGCCCGCCCCCACCCCCCUCCCCGGGCAGAGUCUCCACUCUCCACUCUGGAUGUGGCCCGAGAUACCCCGUUCCCCAGCUCCCCAGGGACUUCUCCCCUCUGUGAUGCCCCUCUCUGGCCCUCCCCCAUUCAUUCGUCUCCAACUCUCCUAAAACCCUCUGCAUCUUCAGCUUUGCUCCUCAGCCUAGGUGGUCACUUACUCCACUGCUGCAGCAUCUUUCACGGAGGCAGCUGAAGACAGGCUCUGGGUCCAGUGAACAAUGAUGAGAGAAGAAAGCUACGUUUGCCCUUCAGCCCCCAGGUCUAGCAUCCAGGAGAAGAGUCUGACUUUUCACACCACUCCAAGGGACUGCCUUUUGGCAUGACGCCAACGCAUGUAGCUAGAAGAGAGACCCCCUUCCUUCCGUGUAAGUUUCAUAAACAAGUCCCUGAAGCCUCUCCUACCUUGUAGUAUUCGGAGCCCUGAUACUGGGUUCAGUCACAUGCACGUGUGAUGCCAAACACGUAUUACCUCCCACCAUAGCAAACACAGAUUAAUUGGAGCCCUCGCAUGUCUGAUCAUUUUUUCUAAAAGUAGAGGUCGCGGACUGACACUGAGAAGUGGCCAGAAAUGUCUAAUAGGAGACCAGUUUAGUAAGAAGAUAGGUAGUUCUAUAGAGGUCCUCCACUGGUAGGCAAAUCAGCCAAACACUAUAACAACUGAGAUUUGUGGGGCGCCUGGGUGGCUCAGUCAGUCAAGCGUCCGACUUUGGCUCAGGUCACGAUCUCGCAGUUGGUGAGUUCGAGCACCAUGUCGGGCUC